CUCUUCCUCACUUCUAUUCCUCUCUGCUGACCAAAGGGAGACACCCUGAUUCUGAGCCAUCAUGAAAUGGUCUAUCCUGCUAGCUGUAAUGAUCCUGGUUUGUGCUACAAGAAUUUUGGCUAACGAGGAGAGCCACAUUGAGGACCAGGCUGGCGUCCUAGAUGAUGCCAAUGUCCAGCACAUCUUGAAGCGCCAUACGUCCUCCGGUAACACCAAGGGCAGCAGCAGGAGCGCAUCGGGAGGCUCUGGAGCCAACAGUGCAGGCAGCAUGGGUGCAGAUGAGCCCAAGAUGGAUAAGGACGGAAACAGAAAUUAGGUCUGCUGCUUCAGAGAGGUAUGCAGGAAAACGUGCCAUCAUUCAGUGAAGCCACAUAAGACAAGGAGCCAGUGCAACAGAGUAGUCCUCAUUGCAGAUCUUCCUUCUUGGCACCUCAAGCCAGAAUGCAGAAUCCCAGUUUGAUCUAAAAAUCUGUUC